GACGAACGCUGGCGGCGUGCUUAACACAUGCAAGUCGAACGAAGUGGCGAACGGGUGAGUAACGCGUCAUCAACCUGCCCUUCAGCGGGGGACAACAGUUGGAAACGACUGCUAAUACCGCAUACUGAAGGAGGGGAUUGCGUCGGAUUAGCUAGUUGGAGGGGUAAUGGCCUACCAAGGCGAUGAUCAGUAGCCGGACUGAAGGGGUGAACGGCCACAUUGGGGCUGAGACACUGCCCAGACUCGUACGGGAGGCAGCAGUGGGGGAUCUGCCGCAAUGGACGAAAGUCUGACGGAGCAACGCCGCGUGAGUGAGGACGGCCUUCGGGUUGUAAAGCUCUGUUAAUCGGGACGCGGUACCGGAAUAUAAAGCCACGGCUAACUACGUGCCAGCAGCCGCGGUAAUAC
rnacentral:rRNA from 1 species